AGCAACUGAUGAAAAUCAUUCUGACACCUCUUAUGAAAAUCUGUGAUCUGGUUAUUAUUAUUUCUGAUGCUG